rnacentral:rRNA from 1 species
GUCAAGUAAUUAAGUGCAUGUGGUGGAUGCCUUGGCAGUCAGAGGCGAUGAAAGACGUGAUAGCCUGCGAAAAGCUCCGGGGAGGCGGCAAAUAUCCUUUGAUCCGGAGAUGUCUGAAUGGGGGAACCCACCUACUUUAAGGUAGGUAUUGCAACAUGAAUACAUAGUGUUGCAAGGCGAACGAGGGGAAGUGAAACAUCUCAGUACCCUUAGGAAAAGAAAUCAAUUGAGAUUCCCUCAGUAGCGGCGAGCGAACGGGGAUCAGCCCAUUAAGUUAUGUGUGUUUUAGUGGAACGCUCUGGGAAGUGCGAACGUAGAGGGUGAUAUUCCCGUACACGAAAGGGCACACAUAAUGAUGACGAGUAGGGCGAGGCACGUGAAACCUUGUCUGAAUAUGGGGGGACCAUCCUCCAAGGCUAAAUACUCCUGACUGACCGAUAGUGAACCAGUACCGUGAGGGAAAGGCGAAAAGAACCCCUGUGAGGGGAGUGAAAUAGAUCCUGAAACCGCAUGCAUACAAGCAGUGGGAGCACCUUCGUGGUGUGACUGCGUACCUUUUGUAUAAUGGGUCAGCGACUUAUAUUCAGUAGCGAGGUUAACCGUAUAGGGGAGCCGUAGAGAAAUCGAGUCUUAAUAGGGCGUUUAGUUGCUGGGUAUAGACCCGAAACCAGGCGAUCUAUCCAUGAGCAGGUUGAAGGUUGGGUAACACUAACUGGAGGACCGAACCCACUGUCGUUGAAAAGCCAGGGGAUGACUUGUGGAUAGGGGUGAAAGGCUAAUCAAGCCUGGUGAUAGCUGGUUCUCCCCGAAAGCUAUUUAGGUAGCGCCUCGGACGAAUACCAUAGGGGGUAGAGCACUGUUUCGGCUAGGGGGUCAUCCCGACUUACCAAACCGAUGCAAACUCCGAAUACCUAUGAGUACUAUCCGGGAGACAGACUGCGGGUGCUAACGUCCGUAGUCAAGAGGAAAACAAUCCAGACCGCCAGCUAAGGCCCCAAAAUCAUAGUUAAGUGGGAAACGAUGUGGGAAGGCAUAGACAGCUAGGAGGUUGGCUUAGAAGCAGCCACCCUUUAAAGAAAGCGUAAUAGCUCACUAGUCGAGUCGGCCUGCGCGGAAGAUGUAACGGGGCUAAAACUAUGUGCCGAAGCUGCGGAUGUAUACUUUGUAUACGUGGUAGGGGAGCGUUCUGUAAGCCGAUGAAGGUGUGUUGAGAAGCAUGCUGGAGGUAUCAGAAGUGCGAAUGCUGACGUGAGUAACGACAAAACGGGUGAAAAACCCGUUCGCCGAAAGACCAAGGGUUCCAGUCCAACGUUAAUCGGGGCUGGGUGAGUCGACCCCUAAGGCGAGGCCGAAAGGCGUAGUCGAUGGGAAAAUGGUUAAUAUUCCAUUACUUCUGUGUAAUGCGAUGAGAGGACGGAGAAGGCUAAAUCAGCCUGGCGUUGGUUGUCCAGGUGAAAGGAUGUAGGCAUGUAUCUUAGGCAAAUCCGGGGUACUCUAUGCUGAGAUCUGAUAGCAAGCUGUACUUGUACAG